rnacentral:rRNA from 1 species
CGCGGCCUAUCAGCUUGUUGGCGGGGUAACGGCCCACCAAGGCAACGACGGGUAGCUGGUUUGAGAGAACGAUCAGCCACACUGGAACUGAGACACGGUCCAGACUUCUACGGAAGGCAGCAGUAGGGAAUCUUGCGCAAUGGGCGAAAGCCUGACGCAGCGACGCCGCGUGCGGGAUGACGGCCCUAGUGGUUGUAAACCGCUUUCAGCAGGGACGAAGAUGACGGUACCUGCAGAAGAAGUCCCGGCUAACUACGUGCCAGCAGCCGCGGUAAUACGUAGGGGACAAGCGUUGUCCGGAUUCAUUGGGCGUAAAGAGCUCGUAGGCGGUUCAGUAAGUUGGGUGUGAAAGCUCCGGGCUCAACCCGGAGAGGCCACUCAAUACUGCUGUGACUAGAGUCCAGUAGAGGAGCGUGGAACUCCUGGUGUAGCGGUGAAAUGCGCAGAUAUCAGGAAGAACACCGGCAGCGAAGGCGGCGCUCUGGGCUGGUACUGACGCUGAGGAGCGAAAGCAUGGGUAGCAAACAGGAUUAGAUACCCUGGUAGUCCAUGCCGUAAACGUUGGGCACUAGGUGUGGGGAGGAAUCAACCCUCUCCGUGCCGUAGCUAGCGCAUUAAGUGCCCCGCCUGGGGAGUACGG